CUGGGUGAAUGGUUAAAUGAAUUAUGGUUCAUCAGACCAUAGACUACUACUCGGAAGUAAAAAGGAACACACUGUUGAUACAUGUGACAACUUGGAUGGAUCUCAAAAGGAUAAUGUUGGGUUAAAAAAAAAAAAAGGCAGUUUCAAAAGGAUGCUCACUGCAUGAUCUGAAAUUAUGGAGAUGGAGAAUGGAUAAGUGGCUGCCAGGGGUUUUGAUGGUGGGGAAGGAUGGGUGUGGCUGGAAAGGAUUAACACCAGUGUCUUGUGAUGAUGGCAGAGUUUUUUGUUUUUGCUUUUUUUCCCAAGGCCUCAAAUAUGCUAGGCAAGUGUUUUUCCUCUAAGUUAUAGUCCCAACCUGAAUAUUUUUAAUAAGUUUUAUGGACAUAUAAUUCACUUACACGGCUGAGUACCUUGAUUGUAGCAGUGAUUGUGCAAGGUUAUGUAUGUGAUAAAAUUACACAGAGCCAUAUCCACAUGCAAAGAUAUGCACGUAUAAUGGAUAAAAUCUGAGCAUGUUCUGGGGAUUACAGGGUGAAUUUCUUGGCUUUGCUACUGUGCUACAGUUGUGUGAGAUGUUCACACUAGGGGGAGGUAGGGGAAAAAUUCAUGGGCCUUCCCUAUAUACAUCUUUGCAACCCCCUGUGAGCUUAUAAUUACUUAAAAACAAAAAAGGGGGCUGGGGAUUUAGCUCAGUGGUUUCGCCGUCUGCUGUGCAAGCGCAAGGACCCAAGUUUGAUCCCCGGUACCAAAAAAAAAAAAGGGGGGGGGGGCUGGAGAUGUCGCUCAGCAGCACAGUGCCUGCCUGACAAGUACAAGGUCCUGAGUUCAAUUUCCGGUGCCAGAAAAAAGGAAUUUCUUUUCUUAGAGAAAGGAUUUUUAAAAAUCCUUCAUUCAGAAUAGGACUCCAUCACUCUAUUCUCUUAGCCUGCUUUCUUUUUGUCCAUAGCCUAUAUCUCUAGUAGACUUUAUAUAAUGUAUAAGUAUCAUAGCUUAUAUCUGGAUGUCCCCCCAAAGCCUCAUGUGUUCAUAGGUGGGGCAUUUGGGAAGUGACUAGGUCAUGGGGGCUGACACUCAGUCCACUGAUGAUGUGAUGUUAGGGGUGAAGCCUGCUCAGAGGCUGGUCUGGGGUACAUGGCCUGGAGGGUCUGUCGUCCUCCCUCUUCUCUUGAUUUCUCUCUGCUUCCUGCUGCUGUACUAUGUGCUCUUUCUCCUCUGGGAUGCCCCUCUGCCAUGCCACCCUGCCUUGGAGCCAGUGGACUAUGGACUGAAACAUCUACAACUGUGAGUCAAAAUAAACCCUUCCUCCUUUAACUAGUGGGUGUUAGGUAUUUUGUCCCAUUAAUGAGGAAAGUAACCAACAAUAACAUAUAACAUAUAUUUGUAUAUAUCUGUCUCCACUAGUUGA
rnacentral:lncRNA from 1 species